rnacentral:rRNA from 1 species
UACGAGGGGGGCGAGCGUUGUUCGGAAUUAUUGGGCGUAAAGGGCGCGUAGGUGGCGCGGGAAGUCAACGGUGAAAGUUCGGGGCUCAACCCUGAAUCGGCCGUCGAUACUCCCGGGCUCGAGCACUGUAGAGGCAGAUGGAAUUCCGGGUGUAGCGGUGGAAUGCGUAGAGAUCCGGAAGAACACCGGUGGCGAAGGCGGUCUGCUGGGCAGUUGCUGACACUGAGGCGCGACAGCGUGGGGAGCAAACAGG